UGUUUCGGCUAGGGGGUCAUCCCGACUUACCAACCCGAUGCAAACUACGAAUACCGAAGAAUGUUAUCACGGGAGACACACGGCGGGUGCUAACGUCCGUCGUGAAGAGGGAAACAACCCAGACCGCCAGCUAAGGUCCCAAAGUCAUGGUUAAGUGGGAAACGAUGUGGGAAGGCACAGACAGCCAGGAUGUUGGCUUAGAAGCAGCCAUCAUUUAAAGAAAGCGUAAUAGCUCACUGGUCGAGUCGGCCUGCGCGGAAGAUGUAACGGGGCUAAACCAUGCACCGAAGCUGCGGCAGCGACACUAUGUGUUGUUGGGUAGGGGAGCGUUCUGUAAGCCUGCGAAGGUGUGCUGUGAGGCAUGCUGGAGGUAUCAGAAGUGCGAAUGCUGACAUAAGUAACGAUAAAGCGGGUGAAAAGCCCGCUCGCCGGAAGACCAAGGGUUCCUGUCCAACGUUAAUCGGGGCAGGGUGAGUCGACCCCUAAGGCGAGGCCGAAAGGCGUAGUCGAUGGGAAACAGGUUAAUAUUCCUGUACUUGGUGUUACUGCGAAGGGGGGACGGAGAAGGCUAUGUUAGCCGGGCGACGGUUGUCCCGGUUUAAGCAUGUAGGCUGGUUGUCCAGGCAAAUCCGGAUAAUCAAGGCUGAGGUGUGAUGACGAGGCACUACGGUGCUGAAGUAACAAAUGCCCUGCUUCCAGGAAAAGCCUCUAAGCAUCAGGUAACAUCAAAUCGUACCCCAAACCGACACAGGUGGUCAGGUAGAGAAUACCAAGGCGCUUGAGAGAACUCGGGUGAAGGAACUAGGCAAAAUGGUGCCGUAACUUCGGGAGAAGG
rnacentral:rRNA from 2 species